GACGAACGCUGGCGGCGUGCUUAACACAUGCAAGUCGAACGGAAAGGCCCUGCUUUUGUGGGGUGCUCGAGUGGCGAACGGGUGAGUCACACGUGAGUAACCUGCCCUUGACUUUGGGAUAACUUCAGGAAACUGGGGCUAAUACCGGAUAGGAGCUCCUGCUGCAUGGUGGGGGUUGGAAAGUUUCGGCGGUUGGGGAUGGACUCGCGGCUUAUCAGCUUGUUGGUGGGGUAGUGGCUUACCAAGGCUUUGACGGGUAGCCGGCCUGAGAGGGUGACCGGCCACAUGGGGACUGAGAUACGGCCCAGACUCCUACGGGAGGCAGCAGUGGGGAAUAUUGCACAAUGGGCGGAAGCCUGAUGCAGCAACGCCGCGUGCGGGAUGACGGCCUUCGGGGUGUAAACCGCUUUCGCCUGUGACGAAGCGUGAGUGACGGUAAUGUGUAAAGAAGCACCGGCUAACUACGUG
rnacentral:rRNA from 1 species